GGAAAGGCCACAAGUGAAAGUACCCAGAGGGUCACAGGAAAGUCACGGGACCUCUCCCCGCCUCAGUCCACAGAUGAGUCCUGGACAGAUUGGGUCUAAAUUGCUUAUUGCCCAGAUGAUCUUGAAGUCGUGAUCCUCCUGCCUCAGCUUCCCAGCACGCUGGGAUUGCUGGCAUGAACCACCAUCGCUGGCUUAGCCAGUGCUUCCUUAACUACACAUGCAGCUGUUCACAGAGAUAACUCCAAAGCAAAAGCAAAUUGUUUCGCCUUCACCUGUGCCCACCUUACUCUACCAGACACAAUCCAAAGACAAACUCACCCAACAUGUGCUCCAACUGGUGACGGGUUCUAGAAUGUUUGCUGCAAAUACUAACUAAAAUGGAGGGAGGCAGAUGAACGAAUCUUCUCUGUUCACA